UAAACACCUAUGUGAAGGACGCCUGGCUCAAGAAAUAGAACUUUCCAGGAAAUAGGGAACUGAAGGUUAUCUCUGGCAAUCUGGAGAGGCCAGGAACCCACCGCAGGCCCCCUGGAGAUGGAGAGGGAAACAGGCGGGUAAAGAAAGCCCCUCUACUUAGAUGGGCUUCUUGGACCUGAACAGCUGCAUGUCUGGAUGUGGUGGGCUGUGAAAUGAUCCCUGCCUUGCUGGGUGGUGGGGGUGGAGGUGGCAGCCAGCUCAGC
rnacentral:lncRNA from 1 species